rnacentral:rRNA from 1 species
GAUGAACGCUGGCGGCGUGCCUAAUACAUGCAAGUCGAGCGAACAGACGAGGAGCUUGCUCCUCUGACGUUAGCGGCGGACGGGUGAGUAACACGUGGAUAACCUACCUAUAAGACUGGGAUAACUUCGGGAAACCGGAGCUAAUACCGGAUAAUAUAUUGAACCGCAUGGUUCAAUAGUGAAAGACGGUUUUGCUGUCACUUAUAGAUGGAUCCGCGCCGCAUUAGCUAGUUGGUAAGGUAACGGCUUACCAAGGCAACGAUGCGUAGCCGACCUGAGAGGGUGAUCGGCCACACGGGAACGGAGACACGGUCCAGACGCCUACGGGAGGCAGCAGUAUGGAAUGGUCCGCAAUGGGCGAAAGUCUGACGGAGCAACGCCGCGUGAGUGAUGAAGGUCUUCGGAGCGUAAAACUGUGUUAUGAGGUAAGAACAAAUGUGGAAGUAACUAUGCACUUCUUGACGGUACCGAAUCAGAAAGCAACGGCUAACUACGUG